rnacentral:rRNA from 1 species
CAGCCGCCACGGUAAUACAGAGGAUGCAAGAAUUAUCCGGAAUGAUUGGGCGUAUAGCAUCUGUAGGUGGCUUUUCAAGUCCGUUGUCAAAUCCCCGGGCUCAACCCUGGACAGGCAGUGGAAACUACCAAGCUGGAGUACGGUAGGGGCAGAGGGAAUUUCCGGUGGAGUGGUGAAAUGCGUUGAGAUCGAAAAGAACACCAACGGUGAAAGCACUCUGCUGGGCCGACACUGACACUGAGAGACGAAAACUAGGGGAGAAAAUGGGAUUAGAUACCCCCGUAGUCCCUGUCUCUUAUAC